GUGGGGAAUAUUGGACAAUGGGGGCAACCCUGAUCCAGCAAUACCGCGUGUGUGAAGAAGGCCUGCGGGUUGUAAAGCACUUUCAGUGGGGAGGAAGAGCUCGGUGCUAAUAGUAUCGAGUUGAGACGUUACCCACAGAAGAAGCACCGGCUAACUCUGUGCCAGCAGCCGCGGUAAUACAGAGGGUGCAAGCGUUAAUCGGAAUCACUGGGCGUAAAGGGUGCGUAGGUGGUUGAAUAAGUCAGAUGUGAAAUCCCUGGGCUCAACCUAGGCAUUGCAUUUGGUACUGUUCAGCUAGAGUGCAGUAGAGGAAUGUGGAAUUUCCGGUGUAGCGGUGAAAUGCGUAGAUAUCGGAAGGAACAUCAGUGGCGAAGGCGACAUUCUGGACUGUAACUGACACUGAGGCACGAAAGCGUGGGGAGCGAACAGGAUUAGAUACCCUGGUAGUCC
rnacentral:rRNA from 1 species